CGGAGAGGGCGCAUGAGAAACGGCUACCACUUCUAAGGAAGGCAGCAGGCGCGCAAAUUACCCAAUCCUGACUCAGGGAGGUAGUGACAAGAAAUAACAAUAAACCGGCUUAUGCCGGUUUAAUUGGAAUGAGUACAAUUUAAACAUCUUAACGAGGAACAAUUGGAGGGCAAGUCUGGUGCCAGCAGCCGCGGUAAUUCCAGCUCCAAUAGCGUAUACUAAAGUUGUUGCAGUUAAAAAGCUCGUAGUUGGAUUUCUGCGGGGACGGAGCGGCCGGACGCAACUUGCGUCUCGAGCUAGCGCUUUCCCCGCAUCCUGCCGCGAACCGUGCUACCAUUAGUUUGGUGGCGCUGGGGAUCGGCUCGAUUACUUUGAGAAAAAUAGAGUGUUCAAAGCAGGCCACACGCCUUGAAUAAGUUAGCAUGGAAUAAUGACUAAGGACUUCGGUUCUAUUUUGUUGGUGUUCGGGACUGAAGUAAUGAUUGAUAGGGACAGUUGGGGCGGUCUGUAUUCCAAAGCGAGAGGUGAAAUUCUUAGACCUUCGGAAGACAAACAGCUGCGAAAGCGUUCCGCAAGGAUGUUCCCUUUGAUCAAGAACGAAAGUUGGGGGAUCGAAGACGAUCAGAUACCGUCGUAGUCUCAACUAUAAACUAUACCAGCUAGGGAUCGGCCAACGUUUAAUUAUUCGACUUGGUCGGCACCUUAUGAGAAAUCAAAGCAUCUGGGUUCCGGGGGGAGUAUGGUCGCAAGGCUGAAACUUAAAGGAAUUGACGGAAGGGCACCACCAGCCGUGGAGCCUGUGGCUUAAUUUGACUCAACACGGGAAAACUUACCAGGUCCAGACAUAGGAAGGAUUGACAGAUUGAUAGCUCUUUCUUGAUUCUGUGGGUGGUGGUGCAUGGCCGUUUUAGUUGGUGGAGUGAUUUGUCUGCUUAAUUGCGUUAACGAACGAGACCCCAGCCUGCUAAAUAGCGCGGCCGAGCUUUGCUCGGUGCGAGCUUCUUAGAGGAACCAUGAUGCGCGAUAGCACAAGGAAGUUUGGGGCAACAACAGGUCUGUGAUGCCCUUAGAUGUUCUGGGCCGCACACGGGCUACACUGGCGCCUGCAACGAGCAUAUCAGCUGGCCCGAGAGGGUCUUGGCUAAUCUUUUGAACCGGCGCCGUGCUUGGGAUUGACCUUUGCAAUUGCUGGUCAUGCAACGAGGAAUGCCUUGUAAACGCGAGUCAUCAGCUCGCAUUGAAUACGCCCCUGCCCUUUGUACACACCGACCGUCGCUCCUACCGAUGAAUGUUCCGAUGAAAUUUUCGGAGAGCGCCAGAGAACGGGGCUCUGCCUUGCAGAUCUGGAGGCUCAAAGUCACUUAAAUCUGAACAUUUCGAGGAAGGAGAAGUCGUAACAAGGUAACC
rnacentral:rRNA from 1 species